GACGUAGGGCGCGAGCGUUUGUCCGGAUUUAUUGGGCGUAAAGAGCUCGUAGGCGGCUUGUCGCGUCGACUGUGAAAACCCGCGGCUCAACUGCGGGCUUGCAGCCGAUACGGGCAGGCUAGAGUUCGGUAGGGGGAGACUGGAAUUCCAGGUGUAGCGGUGAAAUGCGUAGAUAUCUGGAGGAACACCGGUGGCGAAGGCGGCAUUCUGGACCGACAUUGACGCUGAGGAGCGAAAGCCAGGGGGAGCAAACGGG
rnacentral:rRNA from 1 species